AAUUUGUCCUUGGUCACAUUACUGUUUUUUGUUAUCUGUAAUUUGCCGAGGACGAAAU
ncrna:Panagrellus redivivus microRNA prd-mir-7957b precursor